rnacentral:rRNA from 1 species
UGGGGAAUUUUCCGCAAUGGGCGCAAGCCUGACGGAGCAAUACCGCGUGAGGGAGGAAGGCUCUUGGGUCGUAAACCUCUUUUCUCAGGGAAGAUAAUGACGGUACCUGAGGAAUCAGCAUCGGCUAACUCCGUGCCAGCAGCCGCGGUAAUACGGAGGAUGCAAGCGUUAUCCGGAAUGAUUGGGCGUAAAGCGUCCGUAGGUGGUUAUGUAAGUCCGUGGUUAAAGCGUGGAGCUUAACUCCAUAACGGCCAUGGAAACUACAAGACUAGAGUGAAGUAGGGGUAGAGGGAAUUCCCAGUGUAGCGGUGAAAUGCGUAGAGAUUGGGAAGAACACCGGUGGCGAAAGCGCUCUACUGGACUUAAACUGACACUGAGGGACGAAAGCUAGGGGAGCGAA